rnacentral:rRNA from 1 species
UAGUGCAAUCUGUAAGAUACGGAGUUCCUUCGGGGACGCUAAGACAGGUGGUGCAUGGCUGUCGUCAGCUCGUGUCGUGAGAUGUUGGGUUAAGUCCCGCAACGAGCGCAACCCUUGUUAUUAGUUGCCAGCAUUAAGUUGGGCACUCUAAUGAGACUGCCGGUGACAAACCGGAGGAAGGUGGGGAUGACGUCAAGUCAUCAUGCCCCUUAUGACCUGGGCUACACACGUGCUACAAUGGGCAGUACAACGAGAAGCAAGCCUGCGAAGGCAAGCGAAUCUCUGAAAGCUGUUCUCAGUUCGGACUGCAGUCUGCAACUCGACUGCACGAAGCUGGAAUCGCUAGUAAUCGCGGAUCAGCACGCCGCGGUGAAUACGUUCCCGGGUCUUGUACAC